rnacentral:rRNA from 1 species
UUAGGGGUUUCUGGUUUUUCAAGAAAUGAAUUUAAUUCAUGCGUCUUAUUUAGAGUUUUAUUAUUUGUUUAUUUAUUUUUAUUUGGCGUUAAGAUUGGGGGGGAUUAGCUUCUUAUUUUAUUUUUAUAAUUUUUUGUUUAUUUAGUCUUGUGGGUUUUAUAGUGAUUUUCAAUUUGAUUAUGUUAAAAUUUUAUUUGUUUUGUUCUUUAUUUUUAUUUAUUUAAUUAUUUAUUGAAAUGUAUUCUUUAUUUUGUUUUGGUUAGUAAUUAUUGUAGAAUUAGUAAAUUUGUUGUUAGGUUGUUUUAUUUGUGUUAAUUUUCUUUGAGGAACUAGGCAAAUUUCAUGCCCGCCUGUUUAACAAAAACAUCUUUUCUCGUUAGUUUUUGAAGUAUGGUCUGCCCACUGACUUUGGUGUUGAAGGGCCGCGGUAUUUUGACCGUGCAAAGGUAGCAUAGUCAUUAGUUCUUUAAUUGUGAUCUGGUAUGAAUGGCUUGACGAGGCAUGGGCUGUCUUAAUUUUGAAUUGUUUAUUGAAUUUGGUCUUUGAGUUAAAAUUCUUAGAUGUUUUUAUGGGACGAGAAGACCCUAUAGAGUUUAACAUUUGUUAUGGUCCCUUUCUGUUUGUGAGGGUUCACUGGGCCGUCUAAUAUGUUUUGUUGGGGUGAUGGGAGGGAUAUAAUUUAA